UACGUAGGGUGCAAGCGUUGUCCGGAAUUAUUGGGCGUAAAGAGCUCGUAGGCGGUUUGUCGCGUCUGCUGUGAAAACUCGGGGCUCAACUCCGAGCUUGCAGUAGGUACGGGCAGACUAGAGUGCGGUAGGGGAGACUGGAAUUCCUGGUGUAGCGGUGGAAUGCGCCAGAUAUCAAGGAGGAACACCGUGGCGGAAGGCG
rnacentral:rRNA from 1 species